UACGGAGGGUGCAAGCGUUGCUCGGAAUUAUUGGGCGUAAAGGGUAGGUAGGUGGUCUCAUUUGUCUGGGGUGAAAGCCUUGAGCUUAACUCAAGAAGUGCCCCAGAAACGGUGAGACUGGAGUCCUGGAGAGGGUCGUGGAAUUCCCGGUGUAGCGGUGAAAUGCGUAGAGAUCGGGAGGAACACCAGAGGCGAAAGCGGCGACCUGGACAGGAACUGACACUCAACUACGAAAGCGUGGGGAGCAAACAGG
rnacentral:rRNA from 1 species